rnacentral:rRNA from 1 species
CUACGGAGGGUGCGAGCGUUAAUCGGAAUUACUGGGCGUAAAGGGUGCGUAGGCGGCUUGAUAAGUCGGAUGUGAAAGCCCCGGGCUUAACCUGGGAACUGCAUUCGAUACUGUCAGGCUAGAGUAUGUCAGAGGUUGGCGGAAUUCCUGGUGUAGCGGUGAAAUGCGUAGAUAUCAGGAGGAACACCAGUGGCGAAGGCGGCUAACUGGGGCAAUACUGACGCUGAGGCACGAAAGCGUGGGGAGCAAACAGGAUUAGAAACCCGAGUAGUCC